GACGAACGCUGGCGGCAUGCCUAAUACAUGCAAGUCGAGCGGAGUUGAUGGAAAGCUUGCUUUCCUGAUACUUAGCGGCGGACGGGUGAGUAACACGUAGGCAACCUGCCCUCAAGCUUGGGACAACUACCGGAAACGGUAGCUAAUACCGAAUACUUGUUUUCUUCGCCUGAAGAGAACUGGAAAGACGGAGCAAUCUGUCACUUGGGGAUGGGCCUGCGGCGCAUUAGCUAGUUGGUGAGGUAACGGCUCACCAAGGCGACGAUGCGUAGCCGACAUGAGAGGGUGAUCGGCCACACUUGGACUGAGACACGGCCCAGAAUCCUACGGGAGGCAGAAGUAGGGAAUCUUCCGCAAUGGGCGAAAGCCUGACGGAGCAAUGCCGCGUGAGUGAUGAAGGUUUUCGGAUCGUAAAGCUCUGUUGCCAGGGAAGAACGCUUGGGAGAGUAACUGCUCCCAAGGUGACGGUACCUGAGAAGAAAGCCCCGGCUAACUACGUGCCAGCAGCCGCCGUAA
rnacentral:rRNA from 1 species